rnacentral:lncRNA from 1 species
CCACAUUUUAAAGAGUAGAGACUAUAUGCCUAAAUGAUCUAUGACUCCUAAUGAGUGAUCAAACCUACAUUAAGGAUAAUUUAUGCAAAUGUUAUUGCUAAAAUUAUCUCUAAAUGCCCCCCAAUUAGAGAGAGUAAAGUAAUAAAAACACAUAAUUUCAUGUUUGCAAUUCUUUGCUCUUUUUGAUAAUUGUAUAAAGGUUGAUUAAGUAAGGAGAAUAACAUAACUUUUUCUAGUUAUUUAAAACAUUAUAAUAGAGCUCCAAGAGUCCUUCGGGAUGACUCAGUUGGUUUGGAGGGUGGUUAUCCACACGGAUAACCAGGGAUCGAUCCCCCCUCAAUGUCUUCUGAGUCGAGCCUGUCACAUAGGGCUUGCCUAGUGCAGAGUUCUCACCCGAAGG